ensembl:rRNA 5S_rRNA 5S ribosomal RNA
GUCUGUGGCCAUACCACCCUGAAUGCACCUGAUCUCGUCUGAUCUAGGAAGCUAAGCAGGGUCGGGCCUGGUUAGUACUUGGAUGGGAGACAUGAGUUUGAAACAUCUGCGCCCACAGCUC